ACAGGGAUUGCCCUAGUAACGGCGAGUGAAGCGGCAACAGCUCAAAUUUGAAAUCUGGCGUCUUCGGCGUCCGAGUUGUAAUUUGCAGAGGGCGCUUUGGCAUUGGCAGCGGUCCAAGUUCCUUGGAACAGGACGUCACAGAGGGUGAGAAUCCCGUACGUGGUCGCUAGCCUUUACCGUGUAAAGCCCCUUCGACGAGUCGAGUUGUUUGGGAAUGCAGCUCUAAAUGGGAGGUAAAUUUCUUCUAAAGCUAAAUACUGGCCAGAGACCGAUAGCGCACAAGUAGAGUGAUCGAAAGAUGAAAAGCACUUUGGAAAGAGAGUUAAAAAGCACGUGAAAUUGUUGAAAGGGAAGCGCUUGCAGCCAGACUUGCCUGUAGUUGCUCAUCCGGGUUUCUACCCGGUGCACUCUUCUACGGGCAGGCCAGCAUCAGUUUGGGCGGUUGGAUAAAGGUCUCUGUCAUGUACCUCCUUUCGGGGAGAACUUAUAGGGGAGACGACAUGCAACCAGCCCGGACUGAGGUCCGCGCAUCUGCUAGGAUGCUGGCGUAAUGGCUGUAAGCGGCCCGUCUUGAAACACGGACCAAGGAGUCUAACAUCUAUGCGAGUGUUUGGGUGUCAAGCCCGAACGCGUAAUGAAAGUGAACGGAGGUGGGAACCUUUCGGGGUGCACCAUCGACCGAUCCUGAUGUCUUCGGAUGGAUUUGAGUAAGAGCAUAGCUGUUGGGACCCGAAAGAUGGUGAACUAUGCUUGAAUAGGGUGAAGCCAGAGGAAACUCUGGUGGAGGCUCGCAGCGGUUCUGACGUGCAAAUCGAUCGUCAAAUUUGGGCAUAGGGGCGAAAGACUAAUCGAACUAUCUAGUAGCUGGUUCCUGCCGAAGUUUCCCUCAGGAUAGCAGUAACGUUUUCAGUUUUAUGAGGUAAAGCGAAUGAUUAGAGGACUGGGGGAUGAAACAUCCUU
rnacentral:rRNA from 1 species